rfam:Nicotiana attenuata strain TT chromosome 6, whole genome shotgun sequence.
UGGACAAAUUAUUGUAUUCGACUGUAUUCACGGCGUGAAACAGGGGAUUACAAUAUUUUUAAAUGAAAAGUGAAUCAAUUAACAUAAUAGACUCCU